rnacentral:rRNA from 1 species
GAUGAACGCUGGCGGCGUGCUUAACACAUGCAAGUCGAACGGAAAGGCCCAAGCUUGCUUGGGUACUCGAGUGGCGAACGGGUGAGUAACACAUGGGUGAUCUGCCCUGCACUUCGGGAUAAGCCUGGGAAACUGGGUCUAAUACCGGAUAGGACGAUGGUUUGGAUGCCAUUGUGGAAAGUUUUUUCGGUGUGGGAUGAGCUCGCGGCCUAUCAGCUUGUUGGUGGGGUAAUGGCCUACCAAGGCGUCGACGGGUAGCCGGCCUGAGAGGGUGUACGGCCACAUUGGGACUGAGAUACGGGCCAGACUCCUACGGGAGGCAGCAGUGGGGAAUAUUGCACAAUGGGCGCAAGCCUGAUGCAGCGACGCCGCGUGGGGGAUGACGGCCUUCGGGUUGUAAACUCCUUUCGCUAGGGACGAAGCGUUUUUGUGACGGUACCUGGAGAAGAAGCACCGGCUAACUACGUG